rnacentral:rRNA from 1 species
CCAGACUCCUACGGGAGGCAGCAGUAGGGAAUCUUCGGCAAUGGGGGGAACCCUGACCGAGCAACGCCGCGUGAGUGAAGAAGGUUUUCGGAUCGUAAAGCUCUGUUGUUAAGGAAGAACGAGUGUGAGAAUGGAAAGUUCAUACUGUGACGGUACUUAACCAGAAAGGGACGGCUAACUACGUGCCAGCAGCCGCGGUAAUACGUAGGUCCCGAGCGUUGUCCGGAUUUAUUGGGCGUAAAGCGAGCGCAGGCGGUUAGAUAAGUCUGAAGUUAAAGGCAGUGGCUCAACCAUUGUAGGCUUUGGAAACUGUUUAACUUGAGUGCAGAAGGGGAGAGUGGAAUUCCAUGUGUAGCGGUGAAAUGCGUAGAUAUAUGGAGGAACACCGGUGGCGAAAGCGGCUCUCUGAUCUGUAACUGACGCUGAGGCUCGAAAGCGUGGGGAGCGAACAGGAUUAGAUACCCUGGUAGUCCACGCCGUAAACGAUGAGUGCUAGGUGUUAGGUCCUUUCCGGGACUUAGUGCCGCAGCUAACGCAUUAAGCACUCCGCCUGGGGAGUACGACCGCAAGGUUGAAACUCAAAGGAAUUGACGGGGCCCGCACAAG